AACAACUUUGCAAUGUGCAGAUAUACAGCAGUACUCACCUCAAAUUACAGAAAGUCAUACAACAAGAUCCCUGCUGGUUCCAUGAUACACACAUUCCAUACACAGACACAGACACAUUCCAUACACACACACACAUUCCAUACACGUGCACACACACAUUCCAUACACACAGACACACAUUCCAUACACACAGACACAUAUUCGAUACAUUCCACACACACACACAUUCCAUACACACACAUUCCAUACACACACAUUCCAUACACACACAUUCCAUACACACACAUUCCAUACAUACACACACAUUCCACACACACACAUUCCAUACACAUACACACACAUUCCAUACACGCACACACACAUUCCAUACACACAAACAUUCCAUACACACACACACAUUCCAUACACAUACACAGACACACAUUCCAUACACACACACACAUUCCAUACACAGACACACAUUCCAUAAACACACACACAUUCCAUACACACACACAUUCCAUACACACACACAUUCCAUAUACACACAUUCCAUACACACACAUAGACACACAUUCCAUAUACACACACGCCAUACACACAUUCCAAACACACACACACAUUCCAUACACACACAUAUUCCAUACACACACAUUCCAUACACACAUACAUACACACACACAUACACAGACACACAUUCCAUGCACACACACACAUUCCAUACACACACACAUUCCAUACACACACCUUCCAUAGCAACAGACACACGCUCCAUACACACACAUUGCAUACACAUACACACACAUUCCAUACACACACAUUCCAUACACAUGCACAGUUACCCAUUCCAUACACACACACAUUCCAUACACAGACACACACCAUACACACACACAGACACACAUUCCAUACACACACACAUUCUGUAUGCACACACACACAUUCCAUACCCACACACACACAUUCGAUACGCACAUAUAUUCCAUAUACACACACACAUUCCAUACACAGACACAUUCCAUACACACACAGACACAUUCCAUACACAUACACAGACACAUUCUGUACACACAGACACACAUUCCAUACACAGACACAUUCCAUACACACACAGACACAUUCCAUACACAUACACAGACACAUUCUGUACACACAGACACACAUUCCAUACACACACACAUUCCAUACACACACACAUUCCAUACACACACAUUCCAUACACACACAGACACAUUCCAUAUGCAUACGCAGGUAUGUCCCCAAAGAAAUAGAUUGUCUCCAUCAUAUGCACAUUAACCCAACGAAAUACUUUUGGAGCUCUGUAACACCCAAACUUGACUCACAACACACAUGAACACUGA
rnacentral:lncRNA from 1 species